AUGACUUUGAUCUGCGUCCUCAUCUGGACUCUCCUCUGCUGCUGCUUCACAGAGUCCAGAGGACAGAUCACAGUGACUCAGCCUGGAGCAGUGAGCUCUGCUGUGGGAGGAUCUGUGAGCAUCAAGUGUAGGACCAGUCAGGAUGUUUAUGUUUAUAGCAACAAUCACCGUUUAGCCUGGUACCAACAGAAAGAUGGAGUUCUUAAAAUGCUCAUUCACUCUGCUAGCACUCGAGAAUCAGGGAUUCCAGCUCGUUUUACAGGCAGUGGAUCAAACUCUGACUUCACUCUGACCAUCAGUGGAGUCCAGGCUGAAGAUGCAGCAGUUUAUUACUGUCAGAGUUUUCACUUACCUAACAGUCAGGAUGUGUUCACACCGUGAAAAACAGUCGUACAAAAACCUCCCUCAGUCAGACUGAACAGAAACUGAACUGACUGCUGCAGCUGGAAGAUACUGCAGAGACUGAUACAGUUCACUGAGGACACACACACA